UGGGGUGGCCAAUUAUCACGGUUUGCCUGGGACUGAGGGGCUACUCAGCAUAUGGGACUUUAAAUGCUAAAACCAG
rnacentral:miRNA from 1 species